rnacentral:rRNA from 1 species
CCUACGGGAGGCAGCAGUGGGGAAUAUUGCACAAUGGGGGAAACCCUGAUGCCGCGACGCCGCGUGAGUGAAGAAGUAAUUCUUUAUGUAAAGCUCUAUCAGCAGGGAAGAAAAUGACGGUACCUGAGUACUCAUCCCCGGCUAACUACGUUCCAGCAGCCGCGGUAAUCCGUAGGGGGCAAGCGUUAUCCGGAUUUACUGGGUGGAAAGUGAGCGUAGACGGCAGUGCAAGUCUGGAGUGAAAGGCGGGGGCUCAACCCCCGGACUGCUCUGGAAACUGUACGGCUGGAGUGCAGGAGAGGUAAGUGGAAUUCCUAGUGUAGCGGUGAAAUGCGUAGAUAUUAGGAGGAAAACCAGUGGCGAAGGCGGCUGACUGGACUGUAACUGACGUUGAGGCUCGAAAGCGUGGGGAGCAAACAGGAUUAGAUACCCUGGUAGUC